GCAGUUUAACUCAUUUCCUUUAUUAACUCUUUUUACAUUAUGUUUAUAUUUAUGUUUGUUCUUGGCACUCACAAAAAAAAAAAAAUAUAUUUUAGUCAAAUUUCCAACCUGGCAAUCUCUUUCCUUUGAGAGCAAAUGAUUGAGUGAGCCCGAUCUCUUAAAGGCUCCGGCAUGUAAAAUACAGCAAGGCUCUAGGGAUCAUGGGAAAUUCCUGGCCACAGCAGUCUCCAGUCCUGUAAGACGGCCAGGCCGUAUACGGAAAGCACCUGGAACUACAGCUCUGGCUAAUGCGCAGUGCAUUCUGGGUAACCCCAGACUGGAAGCGCCAUAAAAUAAUCAAUAGAAGGAUUCCAGAGGUUCUCCCUGAGCAAAACGUUUGAGAUCCACAGGAGAGUAGCACUGACUGAAUUGGUACUGUUUAACGGAUUCUGACCGUUUCAUUGAAUUAGUGUGCAUGCUACUGUGUUUUCCUUACACACUUCCUGCUUGAGGAGACAAAUCUGAGAAGUCCACCAUGUUACGACAAAAGCCCGCUAAAGCUAACUGAAGCAGAACCCCAGAGUGCGCAAAUUCACAUGAAGCUGGUUAUAUAAUAUGCUGAUUAAUCUUAAACAUUUUCAUAAUGCAAGCUGCUGCUGGCCAUGAUGACCAAAAGACAGUAAUUUGUGCCUUGGUACAUAGCAAACUUCUCAAUUCCCUGGAAAUUAGAGCGAGGAUGGACAGUGUGUUUCCAUCGCAGGCCUCGGGACUAUGGAGAGAGACUGAAGGGGAGUCUAUGACCAGCCAGGACAUAACAUGUGGGACAGGCUCAAGGUUCGAGUGUAAAAAUGCCCUGAGCCGUAAUGGACUCACAUUCCAAUAAAAUAAUCUAGAAUCAUAAUUAAUGAAAUUUUACAUUGAUACGCAAACAGCCCUCACUUAAAAGGCAACUGUAGACAGCAUUUUGGGAUGGUUUGUGUGCCGUCCACCAAGGUACGUGCAGGUAGGGCACACCCCACGGAGAGCCUGGUACUUUUUCAGGUCUUUGAUUGCCACAGGAAAAAAAGACAAUGACCAGACAUGCUCAUUUCUUACAAACACGACCUUCUCCACUCACUGAGCUCAUGUAAACACACAGAAUUUUAAUCCAAUUUUAUAUGCCAUUCUAAACAAAGCUUUUGCCAAAUUUCUUCUAGAAAGCAUUGUAAUAAACUCGUUUAUGAAAAAAAGUUGUUUAUUAACAGAACCCCUUUGACAUCCAAAUCAAAUAAAAUGACAGAGGCAUUUUUAAAAGUGUGUUCUCAACACAGAAAAUCUGUAAACCAUUGUUGGUAGAUUAAGGUAAUUUAAGAAUACCCAAAUAUGUGGAUGCAAGUGGGAACUGACCGGCUCUUUCACUGAAAACGUUUAAAAAACGUAAAGCCACUCUUCCAUAAAUUAUGAAAAGAAUUCAAUUCAAAAUACUCUUUUU